AUUAGUACGGCGAGUGAGCGGUAAAAGCUCAAAUUUGAAAUCUGGUACUUUCAGUGCCCGAGUUGUAAUUUGUAGAAUUUGUCUUUGAUUAGGUCCUUGUCUAUGUUCCUUGGAACAGGACGUCAUAGAGGGUGAGAAUCCCGUUUGGCGAGGAUACCUUUUCUCUGUAAGACUUUUUCGAAGAGUCGAGUUGUUUGGGAAUGCAGCUCAAAGUGGGUGGUAAAUUCCAUCUAAAGCUAAAUAUUGGCGAGAGACCGAUAGCGAACAAGUACAGUGAUGGAAAGAUGAAAAGAACUUUGAAAAGAGAGUGAAAAAGUACGUGAAAUUGUUGAAAGGGAAGGGCAUUUGAUCAGACAUGGUGUUUUUUGCAUGCACUCGCCUCUCGUGGGCUUGGGCCUCUCAAAAAUUUCACUGGGCCAACAUCAAUUCUGGCAGCAGGAUAAAUCAUUAAGAAUGUAGCUACUUCGGUAGUGUUAUAGCUUUUUGGAAUACUGUUAGCCGGGAUUGAGGACUGCGCUUCGGCAAGGAUGUUGGCAUAAUGGUUAAAUGCCGCCCGUCUUGAACAACGGGACCAAAA
rnacentral:rRNA from 1 species